rnacentral:rRNA from 1 species
UACGUAGGUGGCAAGCGUUGUCCGGAAUUAUUGGGCGUAAAGCGCGCGCAGGCGGUUCCUUAAGUCUGAUGUGAAAGCCCCCGGCUCAACCGGGGAGGGUCAUUGGAAACUGGGGAACUUGAGUGCAGAAGAGAAGAGUGGAAUUCCACGUGUAGCGGUGAAAUGCGUAGAGAUGUGGAGGAACACCAGUGGCGAAGGCGACUCUUUGGUCUGUAACUGACUCUGAGGCGCGAAAGCGUGGGGAGCAAACAGG